rnacentral:pre_miRNA from 1 species
GACUUCAACUGAAAAAGUCAUCAACAACAAAGUUGAAUAACUCAUCAAGAUCUAAAACUUUUAUUUUGGUCAUUUCUUCAUACGACAAAGUGAUAGUAACAUUGUUCACAAAAUUGACAUAUCUCUUAUCUGGUUUUAUAAAACUAUAACACAUAUAUGUAAAAUUUAUGAAUAAUAUUACUAACAUUUCGUCGGAUGAAGAAAUAACAAAAAUAAAAGUUUUAGAUCUUGAUGAGUUAUUCAACUUUGUUGUUGAUGACUUUUUCAAUUGAAAUC